rnacentral:rRNA from 1 species
UGAGGAAUAUUGGUCAAUGGAGGCAACUCUGAACCAGCCAAGCCGCGUGAAGGAAGACUGUUCUAUGAAUUGUAAACUUCUUUUGUGACAGAGUAAAGAUAGCUACUUGUAGUUAUUUGCAAGUAUGUCAUGAAUAAGCAUCGGCUAACUCCGUGCCAGCAGCCGCGGUAAUACGGAGGAUGCAGGCGUUAUCCGGAUUUAUUAGGUUUAAAGGGUGUUCAGGCUGUCUGGUAAGUCAGAGGUGAAAGUCGGUUGCUUAACGAUCGAAUUGCCUUUGAAACUGUCAGACUUGAGUAUGGAUGCGGUAGGCGGAAUGUGUAGUGUAGCGGUGAAAUGCAUAGAUAUUACACAGAACACCGAUUGCGAAAGCAGCUUACCAAACCAGCACUGACGCUGAAGCACGAAAGCGUGGGUAGCGAACA